AGACUGCUACAGCUGCUCAAGGAUGAAUCAAGUGCAAGUAAGAGUUUCUAUAGGCUUCUAGUCAUGGAUUUAAAUUCGUGGAUUUGCCAAAUAAUGCUUCGUUCUCGAGUUAUGCCUAGUUUUGCUUACUUGGAAUGCCAUUGCAGCCUUUUCAGAAGAACACGUAGCCAAACUUGUUUACCGAGUGUUGCUACUCUACUUAGUAGUUAGCUCUGCACUAUAGAACGCUAGCUAUUGGUAGCUGCAAGAGUGAGAAGAGAGCUGCAAGGCUCUGCUACUUGAAUGCAGCUUUAGACUUGAACUUUUGGGCGUCAAUCGUUUUUAACAACAAUCAUGGUCGAUCAUUACCAACUCAGCAAAAUUAAAUUGUUUAUCAUGUGCUAUUAGUAGCUAUUAGUAGCUUUAUGUUAUGUAGCUUUGGUAUCUCCACCGAGGCAUCAGCACCUGCGGUGCUUUCAUUGUAUCUAGAAUUUGUAGUACUAAGAACCCUUCAUCAUCUUUCUUUGUGUGUACAGAGUAUUGCUGGAUCACAGAUGCGUGUGAUUCUCAGGUGGUGGAGCAGUCAACCAAACGUACGUGUCACAAGAAACAGUCUGAUGUUGGGUUUCCACCAUGGCAGAGCCAGACACCACACUCGUUACAUCUGUCAGUCCUCUUGUUGGAGUCCUUCCAGCAGAACGCACACCAUCCCCGUUUACAUCUCUUUGCAGGUGGUUGCAGGCACAUUUUGAGAGGAAAGUGUUGGAGCUGAAGAGGGCGCUGGACUCUACUUGAGCGGCCUGGGAGUCUCCUUGAAUAGUACGUGCCAAUCAGCUCCUUGGCCAGUUGGAGGCGGAAGUCUUUUACGUUUUGAUUCGGCUUGGAGGUAUAAUUAGUGUGUAAAAUAUGAUAGAAACAUCAAAUAGGAAAUAAAAUAUAUACUUGUAGAACUUCCGACUUCUUGUUCGACAGGAAUAAUAUCCACGUAUUUGGUCCCCUCUGUCCACACCUUCCAUGUGCUUGUUGUAGAUUAUUAUGCUAUCAGGGCAACUCACAGGCAUUCUUAAACCGUCUCUCUGUCGCCUGAGAACGGAUCCCGUUGCUACUGGUUGCGACGUCGUUGAGAGGACCGUGAGCUCCUUGCUGUCGUGCCAUGCACACGCCACCAGUGGUCCCUUCUGGAAUAUCUUGGAUUCUCCUCUGUAAAAGUACCUCUUCUUCAAACCAUGUUUCUUCAGCCCUGGUGGUAAACCUACACCACACCCAUAAAUACCAUCCUUCUCCAUAUCUUCAAGAAGUUUGGGGCUCGUAAAAAAGUUGUCAAAGAAAACGUGGUGAUUUUUCUUCUUCAGCCCGUCGGGUUGUACAAACCUUCGAACCUCUCACCCAGGUGCUCAAUGAGGGGGUGGAUCUUCCCUAACCGAUCGUGCGAGGGAUCACCUCGUGAAACAAGAUGAGGAUGGAGUAUCCGAAGAAGGCCCGGAGCUCUUCAACUGUGAGUUGAGUCCACGUUCGGUAUGCCUCCUCUCCCAUUACAUGUCUAGCGUAGUCACACACAAUGUGUCCCUGCAGACCAUUGUUAAAAAAUAGCAGAAACACUUCUUCUGGCCUCUCUGAGAUGUCCACUGUUGUUCCUACUGCUGACUCAAAUGACUUGAUAGUCAGGGUGUGCAAUUCACUCCUCCAGGUAGGUUGCUCAUUGCCUAAAUUAAUGUGAGGGUAAUAAUAAUUAGCUAUACAUUAGUUUUGUGUGGUAGUCUAACUGAUUGUAAUUGUACUUCAUAACAUUGCACAAACCGUGUGACGAGUUGCUUGGACCACUUGUGUCGUC